rnacentral:rRNA from 1 species
UACGUAGGACGCAAGCGUUAUCCGGAAUUAUUGGGCGUAAAGAGCUCGUAGGCGGUCUGUCGCGUCUGCUGUGAAAACUCGGGGCUUAACCCCGGGCCUGCAGUGGGUACGGGCAGACUAGAGUGCGGUAGGGGAGACUGGAAUUCCUGGUGUAGCGGUGAAAUGCGCAGAUAUCAGGAGGAACACCGGUGGCGAAGGCGGGUCUCUGGGCCGAUACUGACGCUGAGGAGCGAAAGCGUGGGGAGCGAACAGG